rnacentral:misc_RNA from 1 species
GAUGAAGAACGUAGCGAAAUGCGAUAAGUAAUGCGAAUUGCAGAAUUCCAGUGAGUCAUCGAAUCUUUGAACGCACAUUGCGCCCUUUGGUAUUCCGAAGGGCAUGCCUGUUCGAGCGUCAUUAUCACCCCUCAAGCCCUCGGCUUGGUGUUGGACGGUUUGGUGGAGGCCCCCUCGGGGGCUCCUGCCCCUCCCAAAGACAAUGACGGCGGCCUCGUUGGACCCCCGGUACACUGAGUUCUUCACGGGACACGUAUCGGACACAUGGGUUUACGGGACACGGUCUGCCUCCCCUCAGGGAGGAUCUUUCUAAGGUUGACCUCGGAUCAGGUAGGGAUACCCGCUGAACUUAAGCAUAUCAAUAAGCGGAGGA